rnacentral:misc_RNA from 1 species
UUUCUAUAAAUAAGCAAUAUUUCUAUUCUAUAAGACUUACUCAGUGUUUUGAAUUUAUAGUUUUAAUGAUUAUAGGCAAGAGGUACGCGCCACCAGGCAAUCUCAUAUAUUUUUUUAAAAUCCUGAAAAUAUGUAAAUUAACAAAACACCCGUGUAAGACUUCCAUGGUGCUGUCGUGUUAAUUAUUUUGUUUUCACACAAGAUCACCGUACUGAAGCACAGAAAAAGAUAAUGUUCUGUUUAUUUGAAAAAUAAUAAAGUUUUUAUCAC